GGGUAGUGAUAUGAUUGGUUCCCAGGCUACCAUAGGACAGGAAGCAGCAGGGUAGUGAUAUGACUGGUUCCCAGGCUACCAUAGGACAGGAAGCAGCAGGGUAGUGAUAUGACUGGUUCCCAGGCUCCCAUAGGACAGGAAGCAGCAGGGUAGUGAUAUGACUGGUUCACAGGCUCCCAUAGGACAGGAAGCAGAAGGGUAGUGAUUUGAUUGGUUCCCAGGCUACCAUAGGACAGGAAGCAGAAGGGUAGUGAUAUGACUGGUUCCCAGGCUACCAUAGGACAGGAAGCAGCAGGGUAGUGAUAUGAUUGGUUCCCAGGCUACCAUAGGACAGGAAGCAGCAGGGUAGUGAUAUGACUGGUUCCCAGGCUCCCAUAGGACAGGAAGCAGCAGGGGAGUGAUAUGAUUGGUUCCCAGGCUCCCAUAGGACAGGAAGCAGCAGGGUAGUGAUAUGAUUGGUUCCCAGGCUCCCAUAGGACAGGAAGCAGAAGGGUAGUGAUAUGAUUGGUUCCCAGGCUACCAUAGGACAGGAAGCAGCAGGGUAGUGAUAUGAUUGGUUCC